rnacentral:rRNA from 1 species
GGCUCAUCUCAUCCUGGGGCUGUAGUCGGUCCCAAGGGUAUGGCUGUUCGCCAUUUAAAGAGGUACGUGAGCUGGGUUUAAAACGUCGUGAGACAGUUUGGUCCCUAUCUUCCGUGGGCGCUGCAGAUUUGAGGAAGCCUGCUCCUAGUACGAGAGGACCGGAGUGGACACACCUCUGGUGUAUCGGUUGUCACGCCAGUGGCAUUGCCGAGUAGCUAAGUGUGGAAGAGAUAACCGCUGAAAGCAUCUAAGCGGGAAACUCGUUUCAAGAUGAGAUCUGCCGGGGCCUUGAGCCCCCUAAAGAGUCGUUCAAGACCAGGACGUUGAUAGGCUGGGUGUGGAAGCGCAGUAAUGCGUUAAGCUAACCAGUACUAAUUGCUCGUGAGGCUUGACCCUAUAACUUUG